rnacentral:rRNA from 1 species
UGGGGAAUAUUGCACAAUGGGGGAGACCCUGAUGCAGCCAUGCCGCGUGUGUGAAGAAGGCCUUCGGGUUGUAAAGCACUUUCAGCGAGGAGGAAAGGUUGGUAGCUAAUAACUGCCAGCCGUGACGUUACUCGCAGAAGAAGCACCGGCUAACUCCGUGCCAGCAGCCGCGGUAAUACGGAGGGUGCAAGCGUUAAUCGGAAUUACUGGGCGUAAAGCGCACGCAGGCGGUUGGAUAAGUUAGAUGUGAAAGCCCCGGGCUCAACCUGGGAAUUGCAUUUAAAACUGUCCAGCUAGAGUCUUGUAGAGGGGGGUAGAAUUCCAGGUGUAGCGGUGAAAUGCGUAGAGAU